GUAACUGGUGACGUCUACGUGAGAGUACGCUUUAUUCCCAUGGGCCAGCGGACUCUUCCUUCAACCCCGAACCCCGCGCCAGGAGCAACUGCAGCAAAAGAUUCACUGCAUCCGAGAACAGUUUCACAACCUUCUUUGGAAAUUUGUAUUGGCCAACUCCUCUGCUUUAGCCAAUUAAACUCUUCCACUUACUAAAAGAGGCAAAUUAAUUGUAUGCGGAAUAUACAUAUAGGAUUUUCAUUCAUGCUAUAGGCAACAGCCCGUUACAGACAGACCAAGUGUAAUGUAUACUGCUGAAAAUUGCUUUGGAAAUCGUUGAGUUCGCUUGCCGAUUGAGUUUAGGUCUUCGAUUAGUGCUCUGCGUUGGGCGGUAUCAGUAUCAUUUUCUGUUUUUCUACCAUUUUUUUUAAUGGAUUUUGGUUUUGUUUGCUGUUGUGAUUGUUUUGAUGAUCGAACCUCUCUUUUCUUUCUUUGAAGGGUUAAAGCUUUGAUUUGGUUGUCAAUGGAAGCUGCUUUGAUGGUUCACACGACUCCUAGCGAGUCAUAUUCUAAAGGACACAAAAGGAUAAAACUAUCUAAUGAUGGAGAUGGGUAUGGAAGCUCUUCUAAAGUUGUUGAUUAUUCUGAUCCAUUUGCCAUAUCAAGCUUCAUCGAUAAGUUAGAUUCUGGUAGAUAUGGAAGUGUGACAAAAGACAUUGAAGCUCUCAUUUCUCGGAGGCUUAAAGUUCUCAGCCCUUAUCUGAAGAAGCAUCCUAUUCUUUCAAAUAUCUUAUUGGAUGAUGGGAAAGAGGGCCUAAGUGAAGAUGCUUCAAGGGCACCGGAAUGUGUCAUUGAUUUGGAGGAUGAUAGUAGUGUGACAAAUGAUCCUUCAAUAGAACCAAGGCAUGUUGUAAUUUUGGAUUCAGAUGAUGAAGACAGUGGAGAUCAUAGGCCGAAUUGUCCCUUCCAGGAGGUUGUCUUGCCAAGGUCCGCAGGGCAAGUUAUGGUGGACACAGCUGUUCAGACCCAUUCUGAGAGAAAAAAUCACGAAAAGUUAGUAAGUUUGGCUGGUGAAACCGAUAAGAGAGAUAAAGGUGUUUUUGUUGGUGUAGAUGAGUAUGAUGAUAACAAUCAAUCCAGGACUGAAGAUGAUGGCCUUGGAGAUAUAUGGAAGGAGAUGUCAAUAGCAUUGGAAUGUUCUAAGGAUGUUGCUGAAUAUCCUUCAUCUGAUGAACACGUGCAAGAAGAUGUAGAAUAUUGUGAUCACUCUUUUGUUUUGAAGGAUGAUAUUGGCUAUGUUUGUCGCAUUUGUGGGGUUAUUGAGAGAGGAAUUGACACCAUAAUUGAGGUUCAGUUUAACAAGAAAAAGAGUACACGAACUUAUGCAUCUGAGUAUCAGAAUGUCAAGGACAGAGAUUCAAAUGAGAUGUUUGGAAUUGAGUUAUCUGACGAGGAUUUGAUGGUCACUGACAUCUCUGCUCAUCCAAGGCACAUGAAGCAAAUGAAACCUCAUCAGGUGGAAGGUUUCAAUUUCCUUCGAAGUAACCUGGUGGCAGAUAAUCCUGGGGGCUGCAUCUUGGCCCAUGCUCCUGGAUCUGGAAAAACAUUCAUGAUCAUCAGUUUCAUGCAGAGUUUCCUAGCCAAAUAUCCACAUGCUAGACCACUGGUGGUGCUUCCAAAAGGAAUUUUAGCUACAUGGAAAAAGGAGUUUCAGACUUGGCAGGUUGAGGAUAUUCCACUGUAUGACUUUUAUAGUGUGAAAGCAGAUGGUCGCACACAGCAACUGGAGGUCUUAAAACAGUGGGUGGAGCAAAGGAGUAUUCUUUUCUUAGGGUACAAACAAUUCUCCUCUAUUGUCUGUGAUGAUGUAAACAGUAAGGUUGCAGCUAGUUGUCAGGAAAUAUUGCUCAAGCGACCUACAAUUCUGAUUUUGGAUGAAGGACACACUCCCAGGAAUGAGAAUACUGAUGUUCUGCAGUCACUUGCUAAGGUGCAGACACCUCGGAAGGUGGUGCUUUCUGGCACCCUUUACCAAAAUCAUGUCAAGGAGGUAUUCAAUAUAUUGAAUCUCGUUCGCCCAAAGUUUUUGAGAUUGAAUACUUCCCGGGCCAUCGUCAAGCGGAUUAUGAGCAAGGUACAUAUACAAGGAGUGAAAAAGCAUCUCAAAACUGGGGAGACAGUUUUUUAUGACUUGGUUGAGCACACAAUACAGGAUCAAGAUUUUAGAAGGAAAGUGGCUGUCAUACAUGAUCUUCGAGAGAUGACUAGCAAGGUCCUUCAUUAUUAUAAAGGAGAUUUCUUGGAUGAGCUUCCUGGACUUGUUGAUUUCACUGUAGUGCUUAACCUUAGUCCUAGACAGAAGCAAGAAGUUGAGAAAUUGAAGAAAUGGGCUAGGAAAUUCAAGAGAAAUUCUGUUGGAAGUGUUGUUUAUCUGCACCCGAAUUUGUACAGUAUAUCUGAAAAUUCUGACGUGACUAAUGACAGAAUGGAUAAGUUUUUAGGGGAAAUUAAUUUGAGAGAUGGAGUGAAAGCUAAAUUUUUUCUUACAAUGUUAAAUUUGUGUGAGUCGGCUAGAGAGAAGCUGCUAGUUUUUAGCCAAUAUCUCACUCCUUUAAAAUUUUUAGAGAGAUUAGUAGUAAAAGUGAAAGGUUGGAUUUUGGGGAAAGAAAUUUUUGUAAUAUCAGGUGAGUCAACUUCUGAUGAUCGGGAGUCAUCCAUGGAGAGAUUUAACAACUCCACUGAUGCAAAAGUUUUCUUUGGAUCCAUUAAGGCAUGUGGAGAGGGAAUUUCUCUGGUUGGGGCUUCUCGCAUUAUUAUCUUGGAUGUUCAUCUGAAUCCAUCAGUUACUCGCCAAGCAAUAGGGCGGGCAUUCCGUCCAGGCCAGAAGAAUAAAGUGUAUGCUUAUAGAUUAGUUGCUGCGGAUUCACCUGAGGAGGAAGACCAUAGCACUUGUUUCAGGAAGGAAGCAAUUUCAAAAUUGUGGUUUGAAUGGAAUGAGUAUUGUGGUUAUCAGGAUUUUGAGAUGGAGACAGUUGAUCUGAAAGAGUGUGGCGAUCCCUACCUGGAAAGCCCACUAUUAGGGGAAGAUGUAAGGGAACUGUACAAAAGAUGAGUUGCUGGCUGGGGACAUGAAAGAGGAAUGAGAAUGAGAUAUUCCAAAAUUCCUAUGUGGGCUGGUAAGAAGGGUGAAGAUUGAUUGGUUCUUUUUGUGUAUUCUUGUUCUUAUGUUAAAAACUAUGACAGAUUCUGUUAAGUGAAACAGUGAAGAGAUCAAUUUUGUGAAAAACAUGGAAAUGAUAUAUUUUGUUUUCAUUUUCUAAAUGUGAAAUAUUCAUACGAUGUAUGAUAUUUUUGCUAUAUUCUGUAUGUUCAAAUUUAAUUUUUGUUCUUGGGAGCCAAUUGGCUAGGAAAAGGUACAGUUGAGCCGAGAAUUUACCUAUCUUCACCAGAAAUUGUAUGUGGCCAUUAUUUCACAGAUUUUAGGCGAUUG
rnacentral:misc_RNA from 1 species